CUACGUGCCAGCAGCCGCGGUAAUACGUAGGUGGCAAGCGUUGUCCGGAAUUAUUGGGCGUAAAGCGCGCGCAGGCGGAUUGGUCAGUCUGUCUUAAAAGUUCGGGGCUUAACCCCGUGAUGGGAUGGAAACUGCCAAUCUAGAGUAUCGGAGAGGAAAGUGGAAUUCCUAGUGUAGCGGUGAAAUGCGUAGAUAUUAGGAAGAACACCAGUGGCGAAGGCGACUUUCUGGACGAAAACUGACGCUGAGGCGCGAAAGCCAGGGGAGCGAACGGGAUUAGAUACCCCGGUAGUCCUGGCCGUAAACGAUGGGUACUAGGUGUAGGAGGUAUCGACCCCUUCUGUGCCGGAGUUAACGUAAUAAGUACCCCGCCUGGGGAGUACGACCGCAAGGUUGAAACUCAAAGGAAUUGACGGGGGCCCGCACAAGCGGUGGAGUAUGUGGUUUAAUUCGACGCAACGCGAAGAACCUUACCAGGUCU
rnacentral:rRNA from 1 species